GCAUAUGGAGGUUCCCAGGCCAGGGGUCUAAUUGGAGCUAUAGCUACUGGCCUCCACCAGAGCCACAGCCACACGGGAUCCAAGCCACGUCUGCCACCUACACCACAGCUCAUGGCACCGCCGGAUCCUCAACCCACUGAGUGAAGCCAGGGAUCAAACCCACGUCCUCGUGGAUGCUAGUCGGGUUUGCUAACUGCUGAGCCACAGCGGGAGCUCCUCCUAUUUGUGUUUUAUGUUAUCUAUUAUUUUAAUUUGUUUCUGAGGGUAGUCAGAUUUUCUUCUACCUGCGAUGUUGCAUUUAUAUAAAAGCAGAAGGAUUCAUUUAACACAGCACAGAGUCCCCCUUGCUGGGCAGUAAGGCCAUCCAGCCCUCGUCCGUUCUGUAACACCACUGUGCCAAGGAGUUGAGUCCUUGUUGUUGGGCUUCUAUGGCCACUACAGUGGCCUUCCACGAUUCUUGAGGCAUUAUAGUCACGUUAAGCACAGAUCUUUCUAACAGGGGUUUUCCAGCAAACCGAAAUCAUCCUCUAAAGAUGGAACAUCAGAGUUCCCGUCGUGGCUCAGUGGUUGACGAAUCCGAUGCGGAACCAGGAGGUUGCAGCUUCGAUCCCGGGCCUCGCUCAGUGGGUUAAGGAUCCGGCGUUGCCGUGAGCUGCCUGCACCUUUGGUGGCAGGUGGAGGUGCCCGAAUCGCCAUGUGGGCGCCUGUCCAGACUGGCUGGAGCAGCUCUGUCUUGCAGUCUUUGACCCACCCCACUGCCCGGGGCUGCUGAGGACACACCCCGUUUCCUACAGGGUGGGUGCUCUCUCUAGGGUUUCUCCAGGGAUGUGUCCGAGUACCCUUCCCAAGCUGUGGCUGUGCCGGGUCGGUUCCAGACCCCCUAUCUGCUGGAGACCCCCUCUUAAUGACCAGGGGAGGCCUCCCAUACAGGAUCUCUAACGGGGAAUAACAAAGGGUCUCGGGCUGCCUCGGGCUCGGAACAACACGUCUAUGCAGGGCAGUCGCAUCUCCUGGUGGAGCGUGGCUCGGGUCUCGAGGGUCCGGUUCCUUUGCUCCACUUUCCCUCGACUCUGUGCUCUGUAUGUGACAUGGAGUUUCCACCUUACCCCCAAGGUCUUUGUUUGGAUUCGGGCCACUUCUGCCACAAAGGCAGGUCCAAUGUUGGAUCCAACGGGGAGGGGCGGUCCGUAUCUAGGGUUUGUUUCUCGCCUCAGGGCCCUGACUCCCUCGGUCGGAGUGGGGACGGCUGCCACCCAUCCUGAGUAGAUGCCAACCGGCACAAGUACGUACCCGUAGCCCCGGCAGUGCUGACCUGGGUGAAGUCCACCUCUCUGGGUCUUCAGAGGGCGCCGUACCUCUGGCUUGUGUUCCUGGGUUAAGCCUGGGUCCUUGACUUGUGUUGUUUUGGGCGCAAGUGGUACGCCUGUGGCUGAUUUGAGCACAGAGUGCAGGGAGUCCGGGGAUAAAGGUGCAUCGGCUCGGCAGCCCUUCCAGGGCUGUCUUUCCCAGGUGGGUCGCCUCAUGGUCCUGGGUCACCAUCUGUGUUGCCCCUGAGCUGGGAGCGAAGAGUCGCUGGUCUGGCAGUUUUCCCCAGCCUUCCUUUGCCUGAAUCCCCCCUUCAUUUGGGGCCCAGUGGUCCUCCUCCUGGUGAUAUUUUGGGGAAGUGGGCAGCUCUGGGGCUAGCAGGACUUUGGAGGUUUGGGUCCAAGCGGGAGGCUGGGUCAAUGGGCGGCUGCUCUGGCAGCCUGGUCGGCCAGUCAGUUUCCUCUCCUGACAGGAUCAGCCCCUCUCUGGGGUCCCCAACAGUGUAGGACAGCCACCUGUGAAGGUCCCAGCCCGCCUCCAGUAACUGGAGGAUGGAUUCCUGGCUUUAAUUUCCUCUCCCCAGCUGUCAGCAGUCCCCUUUCUUUGGAGGCAGCCCCGUGUACGUGCCAGGUAGCGAAGGCACACCUGGAGUCGGUGUAGAUGCAGGUUGGCUUUCCCCGCGCACACACCCCAAUGCCUGGACACGCCCACGGUCCUGCUCUCUGCUGACCGACCUUGGGGCGAGGGCUUCGCCUCUGUGCUGCUGUCAGCGUCGUCACGGCCUAGCCUGCUCUCCAUCGUCCCUCCUGAAUGAAGCUCCUUCCAUCCGUGAACAGUUCCAGGUUGGGGCAUCUUCGGUCCAGUCUGGUCGGCGUGAGUAGACUUUGUCCAUUAUCUCUUCGCAGUCAUGAUGGGGUUGGCCGGGCUUGGCGCGCAGAAGGAAAGCUGACUUUAUUGUCCGUUCUGUUUCCAAGGGGACCCUGAGGUUUUCACAGAGUAGGCCCUGGCUGUAUUUCUCAAGUGGGUCACCCACGUGUGUCCUUGGCUGUUCAUCAGAGCGGUGACGGAGUGUGGGACCUCGCUGGGACAUCACUGUUUUGUCCCAGGGUGAGCUUGGCCACCUCCCUUGCCAGAGCCACUGUGGCUGCCAGCGCCCGCAAGCAGGGUGGCCAUCCUGACGCCACUGGAUCCAACCCUUGGACAGAUGUGCCACUGGCCGUUGCCGUGGCCCCAGAGUCUGUGUGAGCACCCCGUGCAGUGCGGUGUUUCUCAUGGAUGAACAAACUGAACUCCCGUGUUACAUCUGGCAGCCCCUCCACCUCCUCGGAGGCCUCUUCCUGCUCCUUGUUCCACCUCAAGGGUUCCUCACCCGAGCCUGCGGCAGCCUCACACAGCGGCUUAGCUCUGCU
rnacentral:lncRNA from 1 species